AAAAGAAAGUUGAGCAGCCACAGCAGGGCUUCUCUGCUGCUGCCGACUGGACUCAGAAUUUUGCUUCUCUUUGGGUCUCUGAGAAGUUUUACCAAGAGAAGAGGCAGGAGGAGAGAUCCAGCCUGGGCUGUUGUUUGCGGUGUGUGUGUGUGUGUGUGUGUGUGUCCCGCGAGGCUGGAGCCACAGCUUCCCUGAUGAACCAUGGAGGCGGGCCAGCUCCUGAGCUGUGGUUGCCCUGGAGACCCACCUAAGCCUCUUUGCCUGGAGCAGCAUUAUCUGUAGAGGGAGUGGCUGAUCCGGACACAAAAGCCUGAGGCGACCCAGGCCCAGGCGGUGAGGGAGCACUUGUGUCCAGAUGGCAUUCUGGCCCCUUCCUCCUCCAGCCAGUGCUCAGUGUGGCACGAACUGGGCAAGACCAUGCUCACCCAACCCUCUGCUGAGCCCUGGUGUACCUGCUGCUGGCAGAUGUUUCCAGCUGCCUGGCAAGCUCAAGAGCAGACAGUUCUGACUUUCCGAAGGAGGGCUGUCCAGGGAGAAGAGAAUAUGGAACAUAAAACAUUGAUGUUGAGGUAUUUGAGAUAACAUCUGGGGCUAGCUGAAGCAUCCUGUUGCUGUUCUGUAGCAUCCCACACUCAUGUCUGGGCCUCCUUCCUGUCUCUGCUCUCUGGUCACGCUGUCACUUGUAGACUGUUCUGGCUAGGAGCCAUGUGUGGGCCAGCUUGCACCUAACAGACAUUAGGUGGCACUAAAACAGAUGCACGCUGCCCUGUGAGGGGCAUGGGAAUACUGCAAUGGGCAUGAAGCUGCAUUAUAAGAGACCUUAGGUAAUCCUGUGCUGGGUGAUAGAGUGACUUAUGAACACAUCUGGUUUUGAUUGUGUUGGAAAUAAAGCAGAAAGUACAGCCAAGAAGAAGUUAAACAAUGGCUGAUGAAAUGGACUGAGGUUGCCCGCCCGCCUGCCUGCAUGAUUGCGUCCCUGGGUGAUUUAUCACUUUGUGCUUGCUCUGUGGCUGCUUCCACUCAGCUGGUUCCAUCCGCCUUCCCUCCUCAUCCAUCGAGCAGGCAAGGGUCUUGAGUCAGGAGCUGGAUCAUAUACUUUUCUUGACCAGUUCACAGCACGACAAUCCCAAAGACUGAGUGGGUCAUUUGGGGAUGGAAGAUCCCCACCUUUAGGGGAGCUGAAGCUGACUUCCUCCGACUCACAGCUCCCAGGCGGCCUCCACCAUAGGGCCAGCUAAGGCCAGAGUCACCCAAAGCAUGUAACUGGGAGUCCCCACCUCUGAGCACCCUACCACUAUCCUGGCACUUUUCCAAGGGGUGUGGCUUGGAGGUCCAAAGGCAGAAAUUCCAGGCAUUUCCACACUGUAGGGGAGGGAGCAGGGGGAUGACAAGACUUUACCUUCUCUUUAGGAAAGCUGCUGGAGGCAAUGAGGAGAAGGGGCCAGGGACCAAGUCACAUGCUUAUCUGUGCAGCACGUAUUUCUAAAGCCCCAUUCUACAGGGCACAAAGCUAGGAGCUGGCUAAGCCUGGCUCUUCCCUCUCCACACGUCCCAGCCACGCCUGUGUGUGCUGGAUCAGACGAGGAGGAGGUGGAAGUCUGGCAGGCAGGUGGGGAGCAGGGACAGCCUUAGGGCCCAGAGUUGAAGGCUUUUAUCUCCAGGUAGUACAACCUUGGGUCUACUACUGAUCAUUCUGUGUUUGAAUAAAAACAAUUCAUCCCUUUUCUAUAGCCAUGCUUUUGUAUCAAUAUCUCCCCCUCUAAUGCACACACAAUGAAUGCAAAUGAGAUCAUAGAGGCCAAUGUCUUGAGCCAUCAGAAAGAUUUUGUUGCAGCAGCUGCCAGAUGAGCUUCAGGACUCCUGACCCGGGGACUCCAGGGAACAGGCACACAGAUGACCCGAGUUAUAGGAGUCUCCCUGCCAGAUGCAGCCGGCCCCUCUCCUGCAUUUUUCAAAUGGUACCUGUGAUUAGGAGAGAAAGGCACAACCUGCCCCACGACCCUCCCUGACGGCUGCCUUGACAUCAUAACUCACAGGCCUUGGUGGGUGUGUUGACGGCUUAUUUAUUCUGAUUUGCUCACCUGUGGAGGAUUUGUGAUUAUCCUUGCUGAGUAUGAAUUUGCUCUGGGGAGAAAAGGUGGCAGUUGUUUUUCUCUUGUUUGGCAUGGAUGGAAGUUGCUGAAGCAUAGAUAUUCAGCAACCAUCAAACGCAGAAACACCGGUGGGGCCCACAACAUUGCCUCAUAGAUGGAAUUUGAUUAAUAAAUUGGAAAUGUGGAGUUAUGAGGCGACUGCAUGCAUACCGACUGGUAACCAAGAUGGAUCAGGAGAAUAUCCACGCAGCCAGAUGCGCGUACAGGUGCCGC
ensembl:lncRNA